rnacentral:rRNA from 1 species
GUCUUUUUGAUAAUAAUCUAAAGUCUGAUCUGCCCAUUGAAGUUUUAAAAGGCCGCAGUAUUUUGACUGUGCAAAGGUAGCAUAAUAAUUAGUUUUUUAAUUGAAAGCUAGAAUGAAUGAUUCAAUGAAAAAAAUACUGUCUCUUUUUUAUUAAUUAGAAUUUUAUAUUUAAGUUAAAAAGCUUAAAUUAAAUUAAAAGACGAGAAGACCCUAUAGAGUUUAUAUAUAUAAUUAAAUACUUAUAUGUUAUUUUUUAUUUUUGUUUAAAAAGUAUAUUUUAUUGGGGUGAUGGAAAAGUUUAUUAAACCUUUUUAUUAUAAAAACAAUUUUAUUUGGAAUAUUGAUCCUUUAUAAGAUUAAUAGAUUAAAUUACCUUAGGGAUAACAGCGUAAUUUUUUUGGAGAGUUCAUAUCUAUAAAAAAGUUUG